UCGACGAGUGUAAAGUCUGAAC
rnacentral:misc_RNA from 1 species